UACGUAGGGGGCUAGCGUUGUCCGGAAUCAUUGGGCGUAAAGCGCGUGUAGGCGGUUCGGUAAGUCCGCUGUGAAAGUCGGGGGCUCAACCCUGGGAUGCCGGUGGAUACUGUCGGGCUCGAGUCCGGAAGAGGAGUGUGGAAUUCCUGGUGUAGCGGUGAAAUGCGCAGAUAUCAGGAGGAACACCAAUGGCGAAGGCAGCACUCUGGGACGUGACUGACGCUGAGACGCGAAAGCGUGGGGAGCAAACAGG
rnacentral:rRNA from 1 species